GCCCAGGUGGCUCAGUUGGUUGAGUGUCUGACUUUAGCUCAGAUUACGAUCCUGUGGUUCAUGGACUUGAGCCCCACGUUGGGCU
rnacentral:tRNA from 1 species